AGGAUCAGAAAGAUGACGCGAGGGGGAGUCGAACGGCGACGUACAAAAAGCUAGUUUGUUGCCCGCUCGCCUUUUGGACGCGUCGCGUUAUUUAGUGGCGAGCCUCGUCUCAACUCGCUUAAGUGCUCCGGUGACUUACAUCCCUUUGGGGCAAGGGCGCGCUAAGGGGGCGUGACCGUGUACCGUCCCGUCAGGGAUCGGACGUAUAAUGGAAAGUUUGUCGAAAGCGGGAAAGGGCGGCUCGGAUCGCGUCCGUCGGCCUAAAUAACGAGUAGAUUUCUUCGAGUACAUAGAAGUAGAGAAACUUCUCAAAUAAAUUCGCUUGUCUUGUAUCUUAAAUAGAACUUGUCGUUUUCAAAAAUAUGGCAAUUCUUUGGAAUAUUUGAUCAUUCGAUUGUAAAGGUCGUAGAAGCAGGCGCGAAAGAGAUGCUUUAUGGAACAGUUUGUACCGAUAUCGAAUGCCUGCUCGAAUCUCGAGGGUCCUUGGUCGGAAAACAGCACGGUACCAAGUUCAGGCCGGUACUUACGAUCAACUGGCGCAGCGAAGCAUCGCUGGCGAUACAUCAUCCGGAGAGCGCUUAUCUCUCCCGGAUCUGCUAUCUCGUUGGACCCCCGUCCUAUCGAACAAUGCCUCGCACGAGAUAUACCUUGCUCGCAAGAGAUCGUGCCCGGCUGCUGUGCACCGCGACACGCUUUAUGCCAUUAAAAUUUUUCCACGACGCACACGCGAUCCUUAAAGCCCAAGAGUAACGGAAUAAAACGAGUAUCGACAGAAAUAAAAAACUUACCUUUCAAAUUUUCAACUUGUUAGGAGAAGUAAGUUUCCGAUACAGAGAACGAAGUGUUUUGUCAACUAGUGAAUUUAUGCUUGCUAAUUGUUAAUGGGUAUAUCACGGAAUAUUUUAUUCGUAAUUACACAUUUUCUGAAGCAUUGUAUAAAACAUAGGAUAUUCCACUUAAAAAAGAACAUAGUUGCCUUCAAAAAUAAUGAAAUGCUGUCAACAGCCACGAAACUAGACAGCCUUAGUACAGAACGUUUUUUAUGUGCGAGAUAAAUAAUUUCCCAUGUAGAGAUGUAUACUAACAAUUUAUACUCUCUUCUCCUAAAUCAUAACAAAGCAAUCUCUUCGAGAUAUUACUUCAAGAAUCGUUGCAAAUCGUUCAACCAAUACGAACAUUUAAGAAACCUUUCUUAACGUAUCGUAAUACCACGAAAUCUACAUGGAAAGGCUAACAAAAUAUGUCACGUAUUGCUGUAGCACAAUUUCAGAAUUACAAGUUCCUGGAUCGAAA